rnacentral:rRNA from 1 species
AAGGAGGGGAGGAGGGAAGGCAGGAUUUACUGGGCGUAAAGGGAGAGAAGGCGGUGAUUUAAGUCAGCUGUGAAAUGGUUUGGCUUAACCGGAUCAUGCGGUUGAAACUGGAUGACUGGAGUGCUGGAGAGGCAAGUGGAAUUCCCAGUGUAGCGGUGAAAUGCGUAGAUAUUGGGAAGAACACCGGUGGCGAAGGCGACUUGCUGGCCAGUAACUGACGCUGAGGCGCGAAAGCCAGGGGAGCAAACGG